rnacentral:rRNA from 1 species
UACGAAGGGUGCAAACGUUGCUCGGAAUCAUUGGGCGUAAAGCGCACGUAGGCGGCUUGCCAAGUCGGACGUGAAAUCCCUCAGCUCAACUGAGGACGUGCAUCCGAAACUGGCGAGCUUGAGUACUGAAGAGGAUCGCGGAAUUCCCGGUGUAGAGGUGAAAUUCGUAGAUAUCGGGAGGAACACCAGUGGCGAAGGCGGCGAUCUGGGCAGAUACUGACGCUGAGGCACGAAAGCGUGGGGAGCAAACAGG